GAUGAACGCUGGCGGCGUGCCUAAUACAUGCAAGUCGAGCGAACGGACGAGAAGCUUGCUUCUCUGAUGUUAGCGGCGGACGGGUGAGUAACACAUGGAUAACCUACCUAUAAGACUGGGAUAACUUCGGGAAACCGGAGCUAAUACCGGAUGAUAUUUUGAACCGCAUGGUUCAAAAGUGAAAGACGGUCUUGCUGUCACUUAUAGAUGGAUCCGCGCUGCAUUAGCUAGUUGGUAAGGUAACGGCUUACCAAGGCAACGAUGCAUAGCCGACCUGAGAGGGUGAUCGGCCACACUGGAACUGAGACACGGUCCAGACUCCUACGGGAGGCAGCAGUAGGGAAUCUUCCGCAAUGGGCGAAAGCCUGACAGAGCAACGCCGCGUGAGUGAUGAAGGUCUUCGGAUCGUAAAACUCUGUUAUUAGGGAAGAACAUAUGUGUAAGUAACUGUGCACAUCUUGACGGUACCUAAUCAGAAAGCCACGGCUAACUACGUG
rnacentral:rRNA from 1 species